rnacentral:rRNA from 1 species
GUUAGGAAUAUUGGACAAUGGGCGCAACCCUGAUCUAGCCAUGCCGCGUGAGUGAUGAAGGCCUUAGGGUCGUAAAGCUCUUUCGCUGGGGAAGAUAAUGACGGUACCCAGUAAAGAAACCCCGGCUAACUCCGUGCCAGCAGCCGCGGUAAUACGGAGGGGGUUAGCGUUGUUCGGAAUUACUGGGCGUAAAGCGCGCGUAGGCGGAUUGGAAAGUUGGGGGUGAAGUCCCGGGGCUCAACCCUGGAAUGGCCUUCAAAACUCCCAGUCUUGAGGUCGAGAGAGGUGGGUGGAAUUCCGGGUGUAGAGUUGAAAUUCGUAGAUAUUCGGAGGAACACCAGUGGCGAAGGCGGCUCACUGGCUCGAUACUGACGCUGAGGUGCGAAAGCGUGGGGAGCAAACAGGAUUAGAUACCCGAGUAGUCC